rnacentral:pre_miRNA from 1 species
UAAUGAUGAUGAUGAUGAUGAUGAUGAUGAUGAUGAUGAUGAUGAUGAAACAAAGAAGAAUUUCAUUAUUAUUAUCAUCAUCAUCAUCAUCAUCAGUA